rnacentral:rRNA from 1 species
GAACUUAAGCAUAUCAAUAAGCGGAGGAAAAGAAACCAACAGGGAUUACCUCAGUAACGGCGAGUGAAGCGGUAACAGCUCAAAUUUGAAAUCUGGCUCUUUCAGGGUCCGAGUUGUAAUUUGUAGAAGAUGCUUCGGGUGUGGCUCCGGUCUAAGUUCCUUGGAACAGGACGUCAUAGAGGGUGAGAAUCCCGUAUGUGACUGGUUGCCUUCGCCCAUGUGAAGCUCUUUCGACGAGUCGAGUUGUUUGGGAAUGCAGCUCUAAAUGGGUGGUAAAUUUCAUCUAAAGCUAAAUAUUGGCCAGAGACCGAUAGCGCACAAGUAGAGUGAUCGAAAGAUGAAAAGCACUUUGGAAAGAGAGUUAAACAGUACGUGAAAUUGUUGAAAGGGAAGCGCUUGCAACCAGACUUGCACGUCGUCGAUCAUCCUCAGUUCUCUGGGGUGCACUCGGCGGUGUUCAGGCCAGCAUCGGUUUCGGUGGUGGGAUAAAGGCCUUGGGAAUGUGGCUCCUCUCGGGGAGUGUUAUAGCCCUCGGUGCAAUGCCGCCUACUGGGACCGAGGACCGCGCUUCGGCUAGGAUGCUGGCGUAAUGGUUGUAAGCGACCCGUCUUGAAACACGGACCAAGGAGUCUAACAUCUAUGCGAGUGUUUGGGUGUUAAACCCAUACGCGUAAUGAAAGUGAACGGAGGUGAGAACCCUUUAGGGUGCAUCAUCGACCGAUCCUGAUGUCUUCGGAUGGAUUUGAGUAAGAGCAUAGCUGUUGGGACCCGAAAGAUGGUGAACUAUGCCUAAAUAGGGUGAAGCCAGAGGAAACUCUGGUGGAGGCUCGCAGCGGUUCUGACGUGCAAAUCGAUCGUCAAAUUUGGGUAUAGGGGCGAAAGACUAAUCGAACCAUCUAGUAGCUGGUUCCUGCCGAAGUUUCCCU